GCCUGAGCCACGCAUAGACGCCUACUUCUCUUCCUCCUUCAGUUCAUCACCAACUCAGUGUACACAACUACCAUCCUCUUCCUCGGUUAAUAGAGGUUCAAAGCUAGCCUUACCUUUAAACUGAUAGACAACAAUACAAUCAUCCCUAACGAAUUUCUUACACAACCCAUGAUUAUCUUACACCCUUUUGGACCCCUUCCUUCUUGCACUACCAUUACUUCCUCCAAACCUUUAUCCCAUAACAAUAUCUUCUUUCCAUCUUCAACAGUUCUGCAUCUGGUCUCGAGAUAUACCAGAACAUGGACAUCCUUAUGUAGUGCUAGAAGUCGCCGCGAAGAUUUGAAUGGCAAGGACUUUGAUUGGGAUAUCAUUAAAAAAGAUAUGGAGCUUGAGGAUGAUGAAGAUGGUGGGUUUCCGGCUCAAGGAAUGUUUCCAAGAAGGGAAGCAAAGGACUUUGGUAUAGAAAAAGUACAAGAAGAUAAAGAUGAUGAUGGUGGAUUUUCAGGUCGAGGACCGUAUGCAGGUAGGCAAGAGAAUGAUUAUGAUAUAGGUCCAGAAUUUGCUGAAAUUCUUGGGAGUGUUCUAGAUGAUCCCCAAAAUGCACGGUCCAAAAUUGAAGAGAGAAGAAGAAAGAAAGAAAAGCAUGCAAGAAGGGAAGCAAAGGACAUUGAUAUAGAAGUACAAGAAGAUGAAGAUGAUGGUGGUGGAUAUUCAGGUCCAGGAGUAUAUACAGGUAGGGAAGAGAAGGACUACGAUAGAGAUCCAGAAUUUGCUGAAAUUCUUGGGAGUGUUGUAGAUGAUCCCCAAAAGGCACAGUCCAGAAUUGAAGAGAGAAUAAGAAAUAAAAGGAACGAUAUAAUUCACACAAAAACUGGAUCAGGAAUAGCAAUGAGCGUGUCAUUUAACAAAUUUGACUUUUCAAACUCAUAUAUAUGGCUUGAAUUUUACAAUGCUCCAUUGGCAAAAGACAUCUCCUUAAUUUGUAAUACUUUACGAUCAUGGCACAUUAUUGGACGUCUUGGUGGAUGCAAUGCCAUGAAUAUGCAACUGUCACAGUCUCCAAUAGAUAAACGACCAAGUUACGAUUAUAUUCAGGGAGCAAAUGUGACACCAACUACAUUUUACAACAUUGGGGAUCUUGAGGUUCAAGACAACUUGGCUCGAAUAUGGGUGGAUAUUGGAUCUUAUGAACCGUUGAUUCUGGAUGUUUUGGUAAAUGCAUUGACACAGAUAAGCUCUGAUUUUGUUGGGAUCAAGCAAGUAGUGUUUGGUGGAGGAGAAUUUGAGAAUUGGAAUGAGAAUUUGACAUCAGAGGAUUCAGGUUUUAAUGUUCACAAGAUCUAAGCCAAUUUUAACGAAUUGAGGUCAAUGAAGAUAGAAGCGGUUGAAGGUGCUGAGGUAUUUGUUUGCUUUCUCCACAAAGGACUCGCAAGUGAGAUAACUGAGGAGGACGUAAGAGCAUUUAAGGACUUGGAUGUUUGAGUUUUGCUGUAUUUUGCUGCUAAUUGGAACUAUUCUCUGUUGACUGCUUCAAGCUUUGGAUGACUGUAUUAUUUAGUACUUGAUGAUUUUUGGAUGACUGUAAAACUACUAUUUCUUUCUGCUUUAAGCCUUCUACAAACAGCGGCUACU